rnacentral:rRNA from 1 species
ACGGGUGAGUAACUGUGAGUAACCUGCCCUUGACUCUGGGUAAAGCCUGGGAAACUGGGUCUAAUACCGGAUACGACCAUCUGGCGCAUGUCAAGGUGGUGGAAAGCUUUUGUGGUUUUGGAUGGACUCGCGGCCUAUCAGCUUGAUGGUGGGGUAAUGGCCUACCAAGGCGACGACGGGUAGCCGGCCUGAGAGGGUGACCAGCCACACUGGGACUGAGACACGGCCCAGACUCCUACGGGAGGCAGCAGUGGGGAAUAUUGCACAAUGGGCGCAAGCCUGAUGCAGCGACGCCGCGUGAGGGAUGACGGCCUUCGGGUUGUAAACCUCUUUCAGUAGGGAAGAAGCCGUAAGGUGACGGUACCUGCAGAAGAAGCGCCGGCUAACUACGUGCCAGCAGCCGCGGUAAUACGUAGGGCGCAAGCGUUAUCCGGAAUUAUUGGGCGUAAAGAGCUCGUAGGCGGUUUGUCGCGUCUGCUGUGAAAGACCGGGGCUCAACUCCGGUUCUGCAGUGGGUACGGGCAGACUAGAGUGCAGUAGGGGAGACUGGAAUUCCUGGUGUAGCGGUGAAAUGCGCAGA